rnacentral:rRNA from 1 species
GUGGGGAAUAUUGGACAAUGGGCGAAAGCCUGAUCCAGCCAUGCCGCGUGUGUGAAGAAGGUCUUCGGAUUGUAAAGCACUUUAAGUUGGGAGGAAGGGCAGUAAGUUAAUACCUUGCUGUUUUGACGUUACCGACAGAAUAAGCACCGGCUAACUUCGUGCCAGCAGCCGCGGUAAUACGAAGGGUGCAAGCGUUAAUCGGAAUUACUGGGCGUAAAGCGCGCGUAGGUGGUUUUGUAAGUUGGAGGUGAAAUACCCGGGCUCAACCUGGGAACUGCCGACAAAAAUGCAUGACUAGAGUACGGUAGAUGGUAGUUGAAUUUCCUGUGUAGCGGUGAAAUGCGUAGAUAUAGGAAGGAACACCAGUGGCGAAGGCGACUACCUGGACUGAUACUGACACUGAGGUGCGAAAGCGUGGGGAGCAAACAGGAUUAGAUACCCCGGUAGUCC